rnacentral:rRNA from 1 species
GACGAACGCUGGCGGCGUGCCUAAUACAUGCAAGUUGAGCGCUGAAGGUUGGUACUUGUACCAACUGGAUGAGCAGCGAACGGGUGAGUAACGCGUGGGGAAUCUGCCUUUGAGCGGGGGACAACAUUUGGAAACGAAUGCUAAUACCGCAUAAAAACUUUAAACACAAGUUUUAAGUUUGAAAGAUGCAAUUGCAUCACUCAAAGAUGAUCCCGCGUUGUAUUAGCUAGUUGGUGAGGUAAAGGCUCACCAAGGCGAUGAUACAUAGCCGACCUGAGAGGGUGAUCGGCCACAUUGGGACUGAGACACGGCCCCAACUCCUACGGGAGGCAGCAGUAGGGAAUCUUCGGCAAUGGACGAAAGUCUGAACGAGCAACGCCGCGUGAGUGAAGAAGGUUUUCGGAUCGUAAAAAUCUGUUGGUAGAGAAGAACGUUGGUGAGAGUGGAAAGCUCAUCAAGUGACGGUAACUACCCAGAAAGGGACGGCUAACUACGUG